rnacentral:rRNA from 1 species
CGUUGAAACUGCCGGGCUCGAGUGGGCGAGAAGUAUGCGGAAUGCGUGGUGUAGCGGUGAAAUGCAUAGAUAUCACGCAGAACCCCGAUUGCGAAGGCAGCAUACCGGCGCCCUACUGACGCUGAGGCACGAAAGUGCGGGGAUCAAACAGGAUUAGAUACCCUGGUAGUCCGCACAGUAAACGAUGAAUGCUAGCUGUCCGGGGGGAUUGACCCCUGGGUGGCACAGCGAAAGCGUUAAGCAUUCCACCUGGGGAGUACGCCGGCAACGGUGAAACUCAAAGGAAUUGACGGGGGCCCGCACAAGCGGAGGAACAUGUGGUUUAAUUCGAUGAUACGCGAGGAACCUUACCCGGGCUCAAACGCCGAAGGAACAUUCCCCGAAAGGGGAAUGGCCAGCAAUGGUCUUCGGCGAGGUGCUGCAUGGUUGUCGUCAGCUCGUGCCGUGAGGUGUCGGCUUAAGUGCCAUAACGAGCGCAACCCCCACCGACAGUUGCUAACUGGUCAAGCAGAGGACUCUGUCGGGACUGCCGGCGCAAGCUGCGAGGAAGGCGGGGAUGACGUCAAAUCAGCACGGCCCUUACGUCCGGGGCGACACACGUGUUACAAUGGCAGGUACAGCGGGAUGCCAUGGGGCGACCCAGAGCGGAACCCGAAAACCUGUCUCAGUUCGGAUUGGAGUCUGCAACCCGACUCCAUGAAGCUGGAUUCGCUAGUAAUCGCGCAUCAGCCACGGCGCGGUGAAUACGUUCCCGGGCCUUGUACACACCGCCCGUCAAGCCAUGGGAGCCGGGGGUGCCUGAAGGCCGUGACCGCGAGGAGCGGCCUAGGGUAAAACUGGUGACUGGGGCUAAGUCGUAACAAGGUAACCGUAA